rnacentral:rRNA from 1 species
UACAGAGACCUCAAACGUUGUCCGGAUUCAUUGGGUUUAAAGGGUGCGUAGGCGGAAUGAUAAGUCAGUGGUGAAAGCCUGCAGCUUAACUGCAGAACUGCCAUUGAUACUGUCAAUCUUGAGUACAUUUGAUGUGGGCGGAAUGUGUCAUGUAGCGGUGAAAUGCUUAGAUAUGACACAGAACACCGAUUGCGAAGGCAGCUCACAAAACUGUAACUGACGCUGAGGCACGAAAGCGUGGGGAUCAAACAGG